rnacentral:rRNA from 1 species
UUUGGCGACCAUAGCGGUUUGGUCCCACUCCUUCCCAUCUCGAACAGGACAGUGAAACAAACCAGCGCCGAUGAUAGUAU